CAGCCAGAAAGUAUAUCAGGCUCUGUUCAGUCUUCAGUAUUGGGGAAAGGUGUAAAACACCGACCUCCUCCCAUCAAAUUACCUUCAAGUUCAGGAAGUAGCUCUUCAGGUAAUAUUUUUAGUCCACAACAGUCAAGUGGCCAUCUAAAAUCCCCAACUCCUCCUCCUCCUCCUUCUAAGCCUCCUGGUCUUUCUCGGAAACAAUCUAUGGAUCUUAAUCAAGUUAGCAUGCUCUCUCCAGCUGCCAUGUCUCCUGCGAGCUCUUCACAAAGUGAGUCACGACCUAAAUUCUCCAUUAAAUCUUAGGCUUUUGCAUAAAUGCUUCCUGAGAUAAACUUCUUAACCUGUGGAAUGAUGAAACUUAAGUGUACAGUGUACCCUAAAUUGUAUAAGUUGUGCAGCUUUAGGCAGGUCUCUUGUUCACUGUAUGUAUUUUAUGUUUAUUGUAACUGUGUUUGUUUUUUCUGUAUAUAUGUAUGCACCCUCUGUGUAUACGUUUUAAUACAUUUUAUGCAAUUAGUAUGAUCUCCUCAUUUAUGAAAGGCUGGUAGAUGAUGUGAUGAGAUAAAAUUCCAAAGUGUAGAUUUUUUUUUUCCUCCAGUGUAAAAACAGUAUGUUAGAUCAGUUUGCCUUUACAUAAUUUAAGCAUCUGGUUUUUUAAAUGUUAUAGGAGCUGGUGCAGUUGUAUCUCUAUGUAUGUAUAUAAUCUGAUCAGUCCCAAGGUGGUGAUACAAUAAACGAUAAGAUGAUUUUUUAAAA